AGACCAGGGCCCUCCACCUGCCAGGCUCCUCGCCGCCCCGCUACCUGCAUGGUGGGGUCCGCGCUGCGGUUGCUGCAGCCCCCCCUUUGGCGGGUGCCAUUGUAGCCGAGGUCGGCGCUGAAGCGGUGCCACAGAUACUGCGUGGCUAGCCAAUAUUAACCAUCGCUAUCUACCGCUGAGGAAACGAGGUCAUCGGGUACUCAAGGCAGAGCUGGAAGAGCACAUGACUCCUGAUGCUGCUGAUGUUCUGCGCUGUAACAGAGAGGCAGCUGGAGAGGAUCGGAGUGGGCUGAGCCCAGCUGCCUGGGUUGGAGCACCUAGGCUCUGCCACUACCUUCGGCAUGCCACUUACCACCCUGAGCCUCUGUUUUUUCAUCUGUAAAAUGGAGUUGCUAACAAAACAUGUCUCAAAAAGUUGUGGAAAAGCAGUGUCUGGUAUAUUCAAAGUGCUAUUAUUGCUAUUAACAGGCUGUCACGUCUGGGAGUGGUGGCUCACACCUGUAAUCCCAGCACUUUUGGAGGCUGAGGCGCAUGGAUCGCUUGAACCCAGGAGUUCGAGACCAAUCUGGGCAACAUGGUAAAACCCUGUCUCUACAAAAAAUACACAAAAAU
rnacentral:lncRNA from 1 species